UACGUAGGGGGCGUAGCGUUGUCCCGGAAUCAUUGGGCGUAAAGCGCGUGUAGGCGGCCCGGUAAGUCCGCUGUGAAAGUCGGGGGCUCAACCCUCGAAAGCCGGUGGAUACUGUCGGGCUCGAGUGCGGAAGAGGCGAGUGGAAUUCCUGGUGUAGCGGUGAAUGCGCAGAUAUCAGGAGGAACACCGAUUGCGAAGGCAGCUCGCUGGGACGUUACUGACGCUGAGACGCGAAAGCGUGGGGAGCAAACAGG
rnacentral:rRNA from 1 species